rnacentral:rRNA from 1 species
ACGGCUCAGUAACACGUGGACAAUCUGCCCUAAAGAGGAGGAUAAUCCCGGGAAACUGGGGGUAAUACUCCAUAGUUUGUGUUUACUGGAAUGUUACGCAAACGAAAGAUCCGUCGCUUUAGGAUGAGUCUGCGGCCGAUUAGGUAGUUGUUGGGGUAACAGCCCAACAAGCCUGUCAUCGGUACGGGUUGUGGGAGCAAGAGCCCGGAGAUGGAUUCUGAGACACGAAUCCAGGCCCUACGGGGCGCAGCAGGCGCGAAAACUUUACCAUGCGGGCAACCGUGAUAAGGAAACCCCGAGUGCCAGCACAGGCUGGCUGUCCACCAGUGUAAAUAACUGGUGAAGAAAGGGCCGGGCAAGACCGGUGCCAGCCGCCGCGGUAAUACCGGCGGCUCGAGUGGUGGCCACUAUUACUGGGCUUAAAGGGUCCGUAGCUUGAUAUGCAAGUCUUUUGAGAAAUCCGCCGGCUUAACUGGUGGGCGUUCAGGGGAAACUGCAUUUCUAGGGACCGGGAGAGGUGAGAGGUACUGCCGGGGUAGGAGUGAAAUCCUGUAAUCCCGGUGGGACCACCUAUGGCGAAGGCAUCUCACCAGAACGGGUCCGACAGUGAGGGACGAAAGCUGGGGGAGCAAACCGGAUUAGAUACCCGGGUAGUCCCAGCUGUAAACGAUGCGCGUUAGGUGUGUCAGUGACCACGUGUCACUGAGGUGCCGAAGGGAAACCGUGAAACGCGCCGCCUGGGGAGUACGGUCGCAAGGCUGAAACUUAAAGGAAUUGGCGGGGGAGCAC